GAGUUUUCAUUUUUUCUUUGUCAGAGUGACUGGCAGUAGGGGCAGUAAUGUAAAAGGCAGUGUUUACAUUAGUGUCUAGUAACACCUCUGGUGCCAGUCACUCAGACAGCUACAAGAGGUGCUUCCUGGGUCUUUACGCAGCACUGGUCUUCAGCAUGGAGGCGCAGAACGUUCCCCAUAGAGAUGCUGAUUGGUAUAGUGGUUUGCUGUACAGUUGCAAUAGGCUCUUAUUGCUUUCUUAUCGUCAAAAUUGACAAUAUCAGCCAAGGAGGCAGAGGGUGGAUGGAACUAGCUGUGGGAGACCCGGGCGGGGCUGGAAUAAAGGUAAGUUUAUUACCUGUUUAAAGAGUGCAAAGGGGGAUCUGCCUCCUAAACUGUGUUUUAACAUGUUUGUAUUCCUGUCACUAUAAUCUUCCUUUAACAAUUUUAAUCAAACAUCGAAAUUGGGGGUAGGGAAGGGCAUCCAUCCUGAAUAAUAAGUUGCAACUCUGUCUGUCAGUGUGUGCGUGUGUCUGUCAGCGAGUGUGUGUGUAGCGGUCAGCGUGUGUCUGUGAGUGAGUGAAUGUGUCUGUCAGUGUGUCAAAUCUGUGAGGAUGUUUGUGUAAGUGAGUGUGUGUGUGUGUGUAGCUGUCAGUGUGUGUCUGUGAGUGAGUGAAUGUAUGUGUGUGUGUGUGUGUCAGAUCUGUGAGGAUUUUUGUGUCAGUGUGUGUCUGUCAGUGAGUAGGUGUGUCAGUGGGAGUCUGUCAGUGAAAGCGUGGGUUGUUUAAACAGUGUGUGUGCCAAUGACUGUUUAUCUAUCAGUGAAUGUAUGUCAGUGUGUUUGUCAAUGAGGGCGGGUGUCUGUCAGUCAAAAAAGUGUCCUUGACAUGCAGUGGUGGGGCAUAUUUAGAUUAGGGGGGUGUCCAAUUUAGUCGUGCCUAAAUCCAAAAUACACCACUGGAUACAAUGACAAUUUUUUUUUAUAGUACAAUAAAUAAUCAGACUCUAUAUUCACUUUUAAUCUUUUUCCCAACCAUCCC